GACGAACGCUGGCGGCGUGCUUAACACAUGCAAGUCGUACGGUAAGGCCCUUUCGGGGGUACACGAGUGGCGAACGGGUGAGUAACACGUGAGUAACCUGCCCACAACUUUGGGAUAACGCUAGGAAACUGGUGCUAAUACUGGAUAUGUGCUCCUGCUGCAUGGUGGGGGUUGGAAAGCUCCGGCGGUUGUGGAUGUACUCGCGGCCUAUCAGCUUGUUGGUGGGGUAGUGGCCUACCAAGGCGGCGACGGGUAGCCGGCCUGAGAGGGUGACCGGCCACAUUGGGACUGAGAUACGGCCCAGACUCCUACGGGAGGCAGCAGUGGGGAAUAUUGCACAAUGGGCGCAAGCCUGAUGCAGCAACGCCGCGUGCGGGAUGACGGCCUUCGGGUUGUAAACCGCUUUCAGCAGGGACGAAGCUUUUUGUGACGGUACCUGCAGAAGAAGCACCGGCUAACUACGUG
rnacentral:rRNA from 1 species